rnacentral:misc_RNA from 1 species
ACCUCUGACGCACACACACGCACACGCGAAAAGGUAUGUUGCAUGGGUAUAUACACAGCUCUCUCCAUACGCAACAACAUACCUGAUCUGCCUUUCUUAUUGGUGUGCGCGUGCGCUUAGCCGUCGCUGUAGGAGAGAGAGAGCCCUGAUAGGAGACGACGAAGACGGAGAAGGCCGCGCCUCUCUCUCUCUCUGUGUGUGUGUGUGGGGAGGGGUUCUCUCUCUCUAUCCUUGCCCUUCCCUUCAUCAUCGUCGUCCACAUCCACACCGCUGCAUGUGUAUACAGCUGCUUCCCCCUCCCCCUCCCCCAUUCCACUCCCUCUCCGCUUCGUCAUUGACCGCCGCUCGCUCGUUUCUGAAUGUAUCCUCUUGUUUGCCUUGCUUCCUCGUUUCGUGCCCUUGUGCGCUAUACACAUCCGCCAACCCCCCUCCCCCCGUCUCCGUCUCCGUCUUCCUCUCCCUCCCUCUCUCUUCCUCUUCUUUCCGCCUUCGUUGCAUCAUCCCUCUCCGUGUGAAAGCCGCGGCGGCGGCGCACGCGCACACGGCUGCGCCCCUCCCCCGGAACCCCCGUUCCGGCCGCCGCGCGCUUCAUCCCACGCACGUAAAGAGGGGGCGCGAGUGAUUUGCCUUUGUGCUGUGUUGUGCGCCUUCGUUCAUUGGUGCCCAGGGCGAAUUCGCCGUUACAUAUAAAACGGAGAAGAGAGGGCGGGCGGGAGGGAGAGAAGAGAGUGAGCGAGUGGGGGGGGCAGCGGCGGCGUGUGCGCCCUCCGCUACGCGAGCAGCGGAGGAGAGGUGCGGAGGUGUUCGCGCGGACGCGAAGAGGCGUGGGCUCUCUUCCUCCCCCAGUCUCCUGUCGUUUCUUCUUUCCGAGACGCCGGCCAGCGUGGUAGUGCGCCCUCAACGGAGUUGCUGAGUGAUGAAUCGCGCACCGCUGCCCCCCGCUCCGCAAGGCGGCUCGGCAGCGACGCCGGCGCCACCAGGUCAGCGCUCCUCUUUCGCAUCUCCGGCGAUGCCUCCGUCUUCGCCGCGGGCAGACUUUGUGUCUCCGUCGGCGCAGCGACGUACCGAGGCAGGAGCCGGUUACUACGGCGGGCUCCCGCCCGCCGCAGCGGCAGCGGUUCCACAAUCUGAUGCGCCAUAUGCCUCUACGGGCGCUUGGGGCAGUGGCGCCAGAAGUGCGAGGUGCCAGAUUCCGGUGUACACUUCCGCCUUUGGCCAUCCUCCCUCCCAGAGCCUGAGCCGCCCAUGCGCGGCGCCACCCCCGCCUCAGCAGCGGGCGCGCAGCCACGGGCUCGAACCGCCGCGGAUCGAGCGUGAGCUGCAGUACCGCCGCAUAGCGAUUGGCCCCAUCGGCUGGACAAGGGAGGCCUUCCAACCUAUGUCGACCGCCUCGCCAGCGUCAGCCGGUGCCCCCGCUGUGAGUGGGGGCCGCUGCCCUUCCUUACAGCGGACAAGGCGCGCCAGUACGGCACCCCCCUUGGAGGCCUGCGAGUCUUCCUUAUCGUCGACAUGGCCGAUGCCGAUCGACACACGCCAGCAGCAGGUGAGGCGUGAUAGCAGCGGAAGCGUGGCGACGGGGGCCAUCACGACAGCCAUGCACGAUGUUUUGCCUGGAGGCUUGACCGGUGACCGGCCGUUCACGUCGCCGCCGUCAGCCGUGGCCUCUCUUAGCCCAGGUGAACAGCUGCCCUCGGCAGCGCUUGCAGCGGAGCCUCCGCAAGUGCAGUCGCUGGCGCCCCCGGCGGCGACGGCGCUCAUCUCGACGAGCCAAGCGGCGCGUGGCCCCGGCGCGGGCGCACCUGGCUCUUCGCGCUUCGAUGUCGAUGCACCCCUCCCCCUUGAAGACCGACGCUUCGCGCGGCUGGGCGCCGGCAGCUGCGGCACCGACAGCUACACGAUGCACAGCGAUAGCACGCCUAGCAGCAACGUUACCAUGGGCUUCGCCUACGCCGAUCCAGAGGGGCACAGGAAUGCCGGCAACGCCGCCGCGAACAGAGGCGGCAGCAGUAGCAGCGCUAUGGAGAGUGAUGUAGGCGACUUCGCCAGCGAGUAUUACGGUAGCAUGCCUACCUCCGGCCUCGGACACGACGGGCACAGCCGCGCCGACGACGCCCGCACGGGCAACCUGAGAGCACCCUUCGGCCACGGCAGCGCGCUAGACUACUGGGAUACCGUGACCACGUCUCCGUUCUCGGAGUCCCAUACACUGACGACUAUGCACGGCGGCGGCGCCGACGACCUCGCAAGCCCGACGGCUGGCAGUGCCGGAUGGACUCAUAAUGACUCCAGCACGUGGCUGGACCAGCUUGGGGCGACCAUUUCUCGCGAUAUGAUCGAGCGGCGCCGUCGCUGGGGCAGCGUGGUGCUGGAGAUUGCGAUCCCGCUUGUGUGCACGCUCUGUGUGGUGGCGCUGUGGGCCGCCUUUGGCGUUACUUCCUCGCCGGACUACAGCUCGCUGGCCUCUAUCGGUGAUAAAGGCUACAACUUCGCGGCUGGCAGGUACCUGGAGGAACUCUGCUACAACGAGACGUGGUUUGGGGAGCGGAACUACAUCGACGGACUGCGCCCCUGCAGCAGCCUAGACGCUUCGUCACUGAGACCAGUGAUUUGCAACACGGUCGGCGAGGAGGAGCUGCCCGUGAAGGGGCUGUGCUACAAACAAGAGGGCCGGGGGCUUGCCGACUUUCUCGGCGGUAUGCGCAACGGCCUCGCGCGGGUGAUGCCGCUAGACGACAUCAUCGCCCACCAGUGGAUGGCCAAAAAGUUGUCCUCUAAGGAUUCGGCGGCGAUGGCGCUGCUGAUCGGCGCGGGGCUCUUCUCCCACACGCGCAUCAACGCUAUCCAGUCGUCCGGCAAGCUGUACUUCGCCCCAAGCGAAAACGUGCCACUCGACAUGCUCCAGUACCUGUCCAGCAGCUCUAGGCUUUUUCAGUACGUCUACAAUGAUACCUUCGACACCGUCGAGGAGGCGCACCGCGUGAUCAAGAGCGGCGAGCGUGGACCCACAUGGGCUCUCGUGAACAUCCGCCAGCUGGACGAGAACGGCUUGGAUUUGUCUAUCGAAAUGGUCUCGACAGCACUGCCGGAGUUCACGGCGAUGGUGGACAAGGCGUACUCCGGCGGCGGGGGCUACGAUCGAUCCAACAUGUAUUACACGAGCGGCUACCCGUCCUUGAUGGACGCGCUUGUGAAGUACUACCUCAUGUCCCUGUACGCGGCCGGCGCGACGCGCGCUGAAACAGGCAGCGUUCAGGCCCUGGCGGAGAGGCGGGCGGCGCAACAACAGCGGCAACAGGCGCAGGCAGCGACUGACGACUCGGUGAACGUGGUUCUGGAUACGCACGAACUGCUCGACGCUGUGCGGGCGGCGCGGGAACCAGUGGGCAGCGGUGCACAGUCCUUCACCGAUGCCGUCGAGUUGGGCAAAUCCUCGGCGGCCGUUACGUCACAGAAAGCCUCCAGCAUCCUGGCGACAAGCGCGGCCCUUCGCGCGAAGACGAGCUUCACGAUCUUCCUGGGCAGCAUGCCAUGGGUGCCCUUCAAGACGAGCCAGGUGCUGACUUCUGCGAACACAAUCAUCGGCUUUGUUAUCGUGAUGGCGUUUCUCUACCCCGUCUCGCAGUUGACGCGGCGGCUCGUGCUGGAGAAGGAGCGGCGCGUGCGGGAGGCGACGCUGAUCAUGGGGCUCAGGCCGGCCUAUUUUUGGUGCAGCUGGUUCCUUUACAGCGUCGCCCUCAUGCUCACGAUAUCCCUCUUCAUGACGCUGCUGAUGUGCACAACGUUCCUGACGAAGAGCGACGCCUUCAGCGUGCUUCUUGUCCUUGUCAUGUUCUCCCUCACGUGCGUGCCGCUGUCGGGGCUGAUGGCCACUUUCUACGACACGUCGCGGAUGGCGGUCCUCAUGACGCCACUCCUCUACUUUUCCAUGUCUUUGCUGGUCUUUGCGAUCUAUUCGGCGAGCCCAGCCGUCUACCUCGUCCUCAGCAUCUUCUCGCCCGCCUGCUUCGCGAUCAUCCUGCAGAUCGUGCUCGCCCGGGAGAGCGGCGACGGCUUUGCUGCGAUGAUCUUUCUGGACCCAAACGACAACCCCAACACCGCCACGCUCUUGGGAUUCCUCGCCCUGGACUUUGGUGCGUAUCUGCUGCUCAUGUUCUACCUCGAUGCGGUGCUGCCCAAGGCGGUCGGUGUGCCGAAGCACCCGCUCUACUUCAUCCUAGACCCGAUCCGGCAUUGCCGUCGCAGGCGUGCGGAAAGGGCGUGGCAGGCGGAACAGCGGCGGCGUCAAGCGACGUCUACCACCGACGGCGGCAGUGGCGCGGGGGAGGCCCUGCAGCCGCCACCAACGCAGAGGGGGGGGACUCAUGAUACCAAAGAGGGGACGUACGGCGGUAGCGAUGGCUGGUGUUGCACUGGGCACAGCGCUGCAACGGAUGACGACGACGAGGAUCUGUUCGACGGCGAGGACGCCCGUGAUCCGAACGGCGUGUACGAGGCGGAGACCUUCACGCCGGAGCAGCUGUCCGUGCGCAUUAUCGGCCUCCGCAAGUUCUUCGAGCACGGUGGCCGCCGCUUCGUCGCGGUGCGGAACUUCUGCUGGCAGCUGCCGAACGCCGGCAUCUCCGUGCUGCUGGGGCACAACGGCGCCGGCAAGUCGACGCUGAUCAACAUGAUGACGGGCAUGCUCUACCCGGAUGGCGGGGACUGCUACAUCGGCGGCCACUCCAUUCGCCUCGAUCUGGCGCGCGCCCGCCACCAGAUCGGUUUCUGUCCGCAGCACAACAUUCUCUGGCCGGAGCUGACGUGCCGUGAGCACCUCGAGUUCUUUGCGCGGCUGAAGGGGCUGCGCGGGGCGGCGCUGGAAGAUGCUGUGAUGCACACCCUCAAGGAGGUGGAUCUUGUGAAUAAGCAGAACGACCCAACACGCGUUCUCUCGGGCGGCAUGAAGCGGAAGCUUUCGGUUGCCAUCGCGUUUGUAGGUGGCAGCAGCCUCGUCUUCCUCGAUGAGCCGACCGCCGGCAUGGACGUGGCGGCGCGGCGGCACACGUGGAGGCUGUUGCUGCGCAUGUCGCGCAGCCGAAGCGUACUGCUGACCACGCACUUUAUGGACGAGGCGGACUUGCUCGGUGACCGGGUGGCCAUCAUGAGCCGUGGCCAGCUCAAGUGCGCUGGCAGCUCACUCUUCUUGAAGUCGCGGCUCGGUAUCGGGUACAACAUCACCAUCUCUGUCGACGAGCUGCUACGCGUCCGUGAUCUCGACGCCUUUUUGCAGCAGCACGUGCCGCAGGCGGAGCGCUUGACAAGCAGCGGCGGCGAGGUCGGCUACCGCCUGCCUGCGAAGCAAGCGGAGCGCUUCCCAGGACUGCUGAGCGCGCUCGACACGGUUGGGCCGCUGAUCGGCAUUCGCGGCUACGCCAUCUCUCCCACAACACUGGAGGAGGUGUUUCUGACGAUCGCCCGCGACGCCGCGGAGGAUGACAAGAGGCGAGCGAAGGCGGAGGGCGCAGCCGCCGUGGCUGCCGUGGCGGACAAGAAAAGUUGCCUGCCGGACCUCUGGCAUCGUUUACGCUGCUGCUGCUGCCGCGGUGGCGGUAAGCACCAGGGCGACCACUCCUCCAGCGACGAGUUUGACUGGGACGAUGAUGACGAGGACGGCCAUCGCAACGCCGGCUACUUGCGCGACACCUCCGGCGUGCACCCGCCGGAGGUGUCCCCGUACUUGGCGCUGGACCGAAAUAUCAGCCCGAUGCAGCAUCAGUCAGCGUCCUUGGCCCCAGGCUCGGAACAGCUUCAGAGUUGCUCGGGCCCAACGAGGACGGGCUACAUGGGGGGCUGCAAUCGCAAUAGUGCGCGCACCUCGGAAAGCCGCACCCCUUCCAGGUCCUCGUCGAGGCUCGUGAGACCGGCGACGUCUGCCGUUUCCAAAGCCGCCGACCGUGCAUCACAGGAGGACGCGGCCAGCAGCCGAGAGUCUAUGCAGUCGACAGAAGAGCAUGCGAUGACGACGAGCGCGGAGGACGCGGAACACUCUCUACCGCGUGCCCCGGCCGCCGCUGACGUCACCCCGGUCGCGGCAGCGGCAGCAGCGGCAGCCGUAACGACAACGGUGGCGCCGACGAUAGCGAAGGGCGCUUUUCCGGGUGACAUUAUCUGGAACUGCGAGGUUGCUUUCUCGACCGCGACUGUGAGUCUCCUGCAGACGGAGGCGAUGAUGCGCAAGCGGUUCUGCAACAUGAAGCGCGAUCGCAAGGCGCUCUGCUUCCAGAUGAUCUGCCCUGCCGCAUGCAUCCUGCUAGCGAUGCUGCUGAACUUGGCGGGAACGUAUACCGUCAGAGAGCUGAGGCUAAACACGAGCAACUACCCAUACGACACGCUGUGGGACACGACGGGUUGUGCGGGCUACUUCAACGGAAGCUUCAGCGAUGUUGCCGCGUCGCUUGCACGAAACCAGCGCACGCGCGACUUGCGCACGGCAAGUCUGUCGGACUUCUACUACUUCCUCCAAGACGAGUGGUUCGCGCAUGGCAAAGUCGGCAAGUACAGCGGCCUCGCGUGCGGCGACCCUGUGGUGGCGAUGCUGCCUUCGAUCGAUCUCAACCCCGUCGUGUUGCUGACCAACUACUCCGCUUAUCACGAGUUUCCUAUAGCCAUGGUGAACUUCUACAAUCUGCUCUUGAAGGAGGCUCGCGGCCCGUCCGUGUCCAUCACGGCGAGCGCCGGCACGCUGCCGUCGAGCUUCGCGCUUGUCUCAGAGAGAAGCAUCAAGCUGCUGCUGACGGCCAUCAUCAUUAUAGUGCCCUUCACCUUUCUCCCCUCGAACUGCGUGGCCUGGGUGGUGAAGGAGCGGGAGUGCCGGUCGCGCCACCUGCAGGACAUCUGCGGCCUGCGCUACCUCGUCUACUGGUUCAGCAACUUCGUGUUCGACUUCACGGCGUACGCCGUGACGAUGCUGCUCGUUGUGACGAUAUUUGCCGUCUUCCAACGCGAGGAGUACAUCGGCGUCGACACGGCUGGCGCGACGUUCACGCUGCUUUUGGUCUUCGGCUUCUGCAGCACGACCACGGCGUACUUUGUGCAGUUCUUCUUCGCGACCCACUCCAGCGCGCAGAGCAUCGUCAUGGCGGCCGGCUUCAUAACAGGCUUCCUUCUGGUCAUCAUCGUAUUCGUGCUUCGACUCUUGCCGUCGACAGAGGCGACGUCGCACAGGUUGGGCUGGGUGUUCCGCAUCUUUCCCACCUACGCCGUCAGCGAAGGCAUCGUGAAUCUCGCCCUGCUCUCGCACUUCCAAUCAUCGGACGAGAGCUUGACAGCCUUCUCCAUGCAGACUAUCGGCUGGCCGUGCGUGUACAUGGCGGUGGAGGGGCCGCUGUUUCUCAUUCUUACGCUGCUGAUCGACCACCCAUACUGGCGAAUGAGGCUGCUGCUGCGGGGCUACGACGCACACGGCGACGCCACCGCUCUCGCACGCGCUCAACGGAGCGCGGAGCAGGGCAAAGGCGGCGAUGCGCACCGUCGGCGUCAUGGCAGCCAUCAGCACGGAGAGCAACAAGACGUGAGUGAGAGUACCGAUGACGGUGCCGAAGAGGACAGCGACGUCGAGGACGAGCGGGCCGAGGUGCAGCGGCGCAUGGAGGCAUACCGCGAAGACCUGAAGCGGCAGGAGAACAUGUACAAGGUGGGCGAUACUGCCGACUCCGCAUCCUUUGGGAUGGCGGCGACUAGCACAACUGGGGGCACCGGCGGUGACUUCCCGAGCUUCGGCGCUAAGCUGCCUAUCAUCGACGCCGUCGCGGUCGUCGGCUUGCGCAAGCAGUAUGAUAGCGGCAAGGUGGCUGUGCACGAUGUCUCCUUCGGCGUCGUGCCGGGCGAGGUCUUUGGCCUUCUCGGCACGAAUGGCGCUGGCAAGACAACGACGAUGUCGAUCCUGUGCCAGGAGUUCUAUCCCACCGCUGGGCAUGUCUACGUGUGCGGGUACGACAUUGUGGAGGAAAGUCGCGACGCGCUCCAGUGCAUCGGGUAUUGCCCCCAGUUCGAUGCAACGCUCGACCUGCUGACGGUGGAGGAGCACCUAAGUGUCUUCGCCGGCAUCCGCGGCAUCGUGCGGGAGCAGCAGAAGGACGUCGUGCGCGCGCUGCUGCAGCUGACCGGUCUGCGCGAAUACCGUCACACGACGUCGGCAGCGUUGUCGGGCGGCAACCGCCGGAAGCUGAGCGUCGCACUGUCGCUGAUCGGUGGGCCGCCGGUGGUCAUCUUCGACGAGCCGUCGGCGGGCAUGGAUCCCGUCGCUCGGCGUGAGAUAUGGACGUCGAUGCAGGCCAUUCGGCACCGCUGCUCAAUUAUUUUGUGCACGCACCACCUCGAGGAGGUAGAAGCCCUUGCCGACUGUGUGGCCAUCAUGGUGGACGGGCGACUGCGCUGCAUCGGCAGCAAGGUGCAUCUGAGGCAGAAGUACGGCAGCGGCUUUGAGAUGACCAUCCGCGUGCAGCCACCGACCACCGUCGACGUGAGCUCCUCCACCGCGGCGGAUGCGAGGCGGCGCAAGCGAGCUGCCGAGGCGGCGGCGCUGGAGGCGAUUAAAGCGCGGCUCAUUGCUUUCGUCACUUCCUCGUUUCCGUCCUCAGAGGUCAGCGAGGUGCGUGGCAAGCGACUUGUCUUUACACUGCCCAAGAACACGAACCUGCCGAGCGUCUUCCAGUGUGUGCAGGCAAACCGCGCGGCACUCUGCAUCUCUGACUACACGGUGUCACAGACAAGUAUUGAGCAGAUAUUCAUGCGCGUCAGCGACGAGGUGGAGAGGGCGGAGAAGGUUCGCGCCGCCUUGUCAGAGCGGCGGCGUGAUGCCGAGAACGCCUUGCGACUGAAGCAUGAACAGAUGCACCUCAAGGGAGAAGAGUCUUCCGAGGAGCAACGUGCAUAGUUGUGAGCUGCGCUCAUGGCUGCCAAGCCAGGAAGCCCAAGCGAGGGCGCGCAUGGAAAAUGACGCUGCGCAGCCUUGAAGCGGGCUUCCUCCUACGUAGUUGGACAGUCCCCCCCCCCUCCCUGUGUUUCCCGGUGCUUCCGUGUGUUGCCAUACACGUCAGGUCCACGCGACUGCACGCCGUGCUCGUGACUCGCCAUUUUAUUCGGCCUCCCCCUUCCCCCCUUUCCCUCCCUCGUGGGGGGGGGGAGGAGGGGCGGCCUUUGCGUUCCUGUAAAUUUAUGAGGUGCUCUCACCCUACCUCUCCUGAACAGCUGCCAUUCCAUGAUGCGUGUGCACAUAUAGCUGGUAGUUGGAUAUCUGUAUGUCUAUAUGUAUGUAUACAUGUAUAUGUAUAUGCAUGUGUAUGUAUAUAUGCGUAUAUAAAUGUUUUUGUGUACCUACGUGCACCUGUAUGUAUAUCUAUGCGUGUCUAUUAUAUGUGGAAGUAUGCAUCUUGUGUUUAGCAGCGUGCUAUCCUCCCUUUCUCUCUCUCACACCCCUCGAAAGAAGCGAUGCGCAUGUGCGCAUGCCACUCUAGGCCCCACUGCGAGUCUGCCGCUUUCUUGUGCGUUUCUGUCUGUGUUUACGUGAAUAUGUCUGCUGCUCGUUGCCUGUCACGCCGUGUAGGUGGUGGUGUGUGGCCUUGAUCCCCUCUCGGCGCUCGUGAUGAUGUGAGUGUCUCGCUGUCCGCGCGUGGGUCUUCGGGUAUAUGUGCCUCUGUUAUACGACGCGCUAUGUCGCUCGCAUUUUCAGUUUUUCAUCUGUUGGCCUUCCGCGCGGGGCUGCUGCGCGCACCUUCCAGACGAAGAGAAAGCCGGCCGCAUGCAGGCAGCGACUCGCCGGCGCUGCGGAGCCCUCUCACCCGCUGUGGACAGACGGUACAGCACCGACAGACAGCGCGUCAGGAGCGGCCGCGAUGCUUGCAAAAUGCAAAUUACAGCCAACGAUGCGGCGACAGGAGCCCGCGCGACCCCCUCCCCCCUUGCCUGCCGCUGCCGCGCUGGAUGUGAAGCACCGGAACCAAAACCUGACCUGCUGCGAAGACAGAUCGAUUAACUAAGGCAGGGGGAAGUAAAGCAUUGCCGCCGUUACGGACUUGCUCUCCCUCCUCGUGGCACUCUCACAGGCCCUACGGCGGUGAUGGGGAUGGCGUGCCGCGACGUAUCUGGGCACAUACGCUGGCGCCAUCAGCCCGCCGCCGUCGUCGUCGUCGUCGCGCGUCUCUCACCUCGGCUUGUCGUUGGCUAUUGCGAGCUGGUGCAGCAGGGCGAAGCUGACAAGCUCGCGACAUCGGCAGUGAAGGAGGGGCCGGCGCCAACUGCACGGAUCGCGGACUUGGGUACUGUCCUUAGACGCGAGGUCGAUAGCCGCAUAUCCGCUCCCCCUAAAAAAAAACCGCGGUGCACGAUGCGACACGCCACGGCAAGAGGUGCUUGGCGACAGUCGUCCCACACCCGAGGAACACGGAUGCUGAGCUCGCGAGGCCGCAGGAGACCAUCUUCACGCAGUCCCGCACAGACACCUGUCCGUGCAUUUUGGAUCGCUGCAGCGGCGGGUGGCUGGCGGUGACAACAUGGGGCGCAGAUGGUGUGCUGCCUAUUACGCCGCCGGCAUUGUGGCACCCACCCACCCCCGCCUGCUGCUUGUGCCAUGAGGGCGGCCGGCCCGGCGCUGUGCCCGGUAUGCUACGCGGGAUUCGCGGAUCGCUUGAAGCUGACAGCGCGCCUCGACUGGGGCAAUGAUCUGACUGCGCGCAUCUCACUCGCGCUGCACGGGCGCCCCCCCGAUGGGGUGUCUGUGGCCGCACCCCCACACCCUCUGUGCCCCCGUCGGUACGGCAGGCUGUGGGCUCUUUGUGCGCUGGCACCUGCCGAUGCACGGGCCCCCUCUGCUGGGCACACCCGCCCCGGUGAGAGGCGUACGGGCUGAGGUGAUGGUAGCGGUGUGCCCCCCCCCUUCCCCCCCCAUUGCCACAGACUCGCAGCAACGCCCCACCUGUCGCGGCACAUGCGGGCAGUCCAUCCAGGCAUGCCCUCCCCCCUCUGGCGGCACGGACGGAAGUGGAAGAUGCAGACAGCGGGUCCCCCGACAACAACGUCGUGGAACAGGCCCCAGGAUGCAAAACGCAAGCACUGUGCGCACGCGCUGCCAUGCACAGCUGGCAUGGUGUAUCACAUUCAAGCAAGGCAUCCAGAUAUGAGCAGGGCAAGAGAGUGAUGGGCGGAGAGAGGCGGGGGAGAUGCGUACGGAUCAAUCCCACACUGCACGCGUGCAAAACAUGCGGCAUCUGCUACAUCCGACCGGGUGGGCGGGUGCGACGCAGGUGCCGGAAGCAUGAGGGCAACACCCCCAAAUUAUACCAUCGAGUCUUCCAGACUCCGCUGUGGAGAGCCUCCACAUCAUAUUGUGGAAUUCGACGGUUUGAAGCUGCUCGGAGAGAAGCGUGGCACACAGGCAGGAUGUGCAGGGUCUCAGCGGGCCCUGGCCUGAGGCUCAUCCGGCAUGCACCUAGUCUGCCCUCCUCUAAUAGCUGCACGACGGACACCAUCGCUUCCUCCCUCGGGCAGCACCUUGAACGGGUCCCGCGUUGGAUCAAGACAUGGAGUCCAUCCAAGUGCGUGUGGCGCCGCAGGUGCCCGAAGGAAUGGACGCGGAAGAACGAGUCUAUGCGACAUAUCGACCCGGCUCGACGGCUGGACGGCAUGUCCUGGUCGGCCAGGAUGUCGCUGCACCUCAACGGCCGUCAGCUGAGCUGAGGUGGUGUGCACGCGCGUGUAUGUGCUGCUGGCUUAUUCUGUGAGUGGCAGGACCGUGGACAUGGCGGACGCAUGGCACCAUAAAAUGCUGCGCUGCUGACCAUCCAUGCCGUCUGUUGUUCCGUUGUGAUUGCUAUUAUGCAUCGUGUGC